UACGGAGGGGGCUAGCGUUAUUCGGAAUUACUGGGCGUAAAGCGCGCGUAGGCGGUUUGUUAAGUCUGAUGUGAAAGCCCUGGGCUCAACCUGGGAAUUGCAUUGGAUACUAGCAGGCUAGAGUGCGGUAGAGGGUAGUGGAAUUCCCGGUGUAGCGGUGAAAUGCGUAGAGAUCGGGAGGAACACCAGUGGCGAAGGCGGCUACCUGGACCGGCACUGACACUGAGGCACGAAAGCGUGGGGAGCAAACAGG
rnacentral:rRNA from 1 species